rnacentral:rRNA from 1 species
CCUACGGGAGGCAGCAGUGGGGAAUAUUGCACAAUGGGCGCAAGCCUGAUGCAGCCAUGCCGCGUGUGUGAAGAAGGCCUUCGGGUUGUAAAGCACUUUCAGCGGGGAGGAAGGCGGUGAGGUUAAUAACCUCAUCGAUUGACGUUACCCGCAGAAGAAGCACCGGCUAACUCCGUGCCAGCAGCCGCGGUAAUACGGAGGGUGCAAGCGUUAAUCGGAAUUACUGGGCGUAAAGCGCACGCAGGCGGUCUGUCAAGUCGGAUGUGAAAUCCCCGGGCUCAACCUGGGAACUGCAUUCGAAACUGGCAGGCUAGAGUCUUGUAGAGGGGGGUAGAAUUCCAGGUGUAGCGGUGAAAUGCGUAGAGAUCUGGAGGAAUACCGGUGGCGAAGGCGGCCCCCUGGACAAAGACUGACGCUCAGGUGCGAAAGCGUGGGGAGCAAACAGGAUAGAUACCCGUGUAGUC